rnacentral:lncRNA from 1 species
AAAAAUUAAAGUAGAAGGACAUAAAAUCUGUUUUUUUAAAGGACUUUCAUAUCAAAAAGUAAUUAUUUAUUCUACAUGGCUCCAGAACUGGCCUAGAACCAAUAUGUGUAAGUUAUAGGGAGAAAGUGUUUUGUUUUCUGGUAAGAAGAUAUAAUUAUACAAAAAAUGAAAUGAGUUAUCUCAUUUAGUAGUGAGCUCUAUGGCCCUAGAAGUGUUGAAGUAUAGGAUCUCACAGAACACAUCUUGAAAAGAGAAUUCUUAAAUGGUAAAGGUUAGAAUAAAUGAUCUUCAGUCUUCCUUCCAAUUCUAAGAUUUUAUUUACUUAUGAUUUGUAUUUUAGGUUAUUCUUGCUGGCUACUUCCUAAUGUUCUUCUGGUUACUAUGGAAAAUACUUAGCAAACAGAGUUGGCCUGAUAGCUUCUUAGCAUUUUUAACUGAGUGUGUUGAGUACAAAAAUCCCAAAGUUCAAAUGUUCCUUUUGCAAUGCAUCCUUUUUUUUUUUUUAAACAUUAUUUAAAACUUCAAGGAAAUUAAAAUACUUCAAGAACUUGUAGUUAUAUUGAUAUGAGUACUUCACCAACAGAUUGCAACCCUACAGCUGAGCAAAUCCUCUUUAAAAGCUUCUGUGAUCAAAAACCUCCUCUGAUCAACCUGGUGAUAAACUUCUAAAUUUAGUGAGGCUGUCCUUAGAUGACAAAUAUACAGUUCAUGAUUGGGCAGGCUUGAUUUUUUUUUCUUGACGAGGGUAAAAUUCUUUUAUAAUUUAUAAUUUCCAAAGGAACUAAGGAUGUGGCAUCAAAAAUAAGAUGAAAUUAUAUUUAGUCUCACCUCAACUACAUAUUUGUUCAUUAGGAGGCACAAUAUUUAUAAAAGAGCACCAUACUGUGUUAUACAAUAGGAUAAGACAGCUAGCAAAGAAUCAUCAAAUGCUCAGGAGUCCAUGUUUACUUCAGAUGUUGCACCUAGGACAUAGUGAAUUUCAAAGCAUGCUAAUUCAAUAUGGAUACCAGAAUUAAUUCCUCCUUUGUUUUAGAUAUAUCUAAAAUAUCAUCUGUGAUUAAACCUUCAUCUUUACCUCUUCAUUUCUUAGUUAAACCUUGUGGAUUAAUACCUCGAGAACUACACCUACAAUUUUCCAUCUGUUAAGUCCACCAAUCCACAGAUUUUACUGAAGGUCGUCUUUGUUUACUACAGGUGAAAAGUAUAGUAUGAAUAUAUAGGGGGCUUCCUUAAGAUAUGAAUAAAGUGAGAACAUAUGAUUUUAAUCAAGAAUUUUAAAUUGAAGCCUAUAAUUAUAUAUAAUAUACUCAUUUUAAAAGCAGUCAAUAAUUCUAGGUAUAAGUGCCCUCUAUUUGCUCAAUUUAAUCUAAUUAUUUCUGACAUGUGAUUUAAUAGUUUAUCACCCUCCCCCUUCCUUGGAGAUUGUGAUUAUUGCUUAAUUCAACCCUGGAGAUUUAAUAGCAUGAUGUAUUUGCAUUUAAGGAAUAAGAUAUUUAAAAAGUAGUAGUAUGAAUGUUUUAAAAUUUCUGAUUCAUAGCAAUAAAAGCAGGAAUCUGAUAUGUGACCCUGAUACUCAUAUCACACAGAAUUUCAUUCCAUUAAUUCAUGAUUUAUUGCCACCUUAUUCUAUUUCAAAUUUGCUCCUUAAGAGUUCACUUUGAAAUUGAUUGGCCUUUUCUAGUUCCUAUUUGUACAGAUAGUUUAAAUACUCGUCAUAAAAAAAUUAUUUGGCCCAUAUAUCAACUACCCUUAGGGAUAAAAUCUAUUUACUCCAGGGAACUUUGAUCAGAAAUCAUUUGCAUAUUUUGACCUUCAUUUCCUAUUUGAAUUUAAAAUGGCAAAAAUGAUUUUUAGCUUGUCUUCAAACUAAUUUUUUUUUUAAACAUAAGGUCAAUAGUUAUAGAAGUGUGAAGUAUGGUUCUGUUAGACCACUUGGGACUAAAAAAGGUCCUCUUGGGUAAAUUGUUCUGUUGUUUUUAGUGUGACUGAUUUCCCAGAACUGUCAGAUAGAGGGGAUGGGGAGCUGGGGGAGGAAAAAUGACAAAAAUAGUGAGUCUCAUCUAAAGGAUAAUCUCUUCAAAUUGUUUUUCAUCUUUUAAAGAGUAUAAUGAAACUAGAGUUCUUCAAAAUAUGGGGCUAUACUUUGUAUAUUACAAAUAAAGCAGAUCUCCCAGUACCUGUGGAUUUACUAUUCUUAAAGCAUUUUUAUUGUCAUUGUUCCUAAUUUUUCAGUCAUCUUCUGACUCUUUGUGACUCUACUUGGAAUUUUCUUGGCAAAGCUACUUGUGUGGUUUGCUUUUUCCUCUCUAGCUCAUUUUAUAGAUUAAGAUUUGAGGCAAACAAGGUUAAUUGACUCACCCAGGGUCACACAGCUAGUAAAUGUCUUUAGGCCACAUUUAAUCUCACUAGAUUUAAGACCUAGCACUUCUUCUACUGUAACACCUAGAUACCAAUUUUUAAAGCUUAAACCAUCUUUUCACCAGAAGUAACAAUGCCUUUAAAAAGACCAAGACAUAAGAGAAAUCUAAAGGGGCUUUCUGUUUUUGGCCAAGGACUGUGAUUUUAUUGCCUUAGGAACUCACUCUCAGUACCAAAGUUAAACAGGAAUAUUCUUCAAUUUUUAAGAGUUGCUUUGGGCACUGAGAUGAAUUAAGUGACUUCUCAGGGGGUCACAGUCAGUUUCCUAGAGAUGGAACUUGAACCCAAGUCUUUGUGACUUUCUGGCAAGGUUAUCUAUUCACAAUUCUACUUCCUAUAUGUGCUCAAUACAUGUGUUACUCCUGUGCAUACUCAGGUUGAAUAACUACCUGGAAUAGUAAAAAGUAUUUCAAAUUAAUUUUCUUUGGGAUAUAGAUUUCCCAGGAAGGAUAAUUGUGAAUUGUCUGCAUGGUGUGGUGAAAAAGUAUUUUGUUGUUCAGCUGUUUCAGUCUGUACUUAAAAGUUGAAGUAUCUGAGUAGAAUUCCAGCUAAAGCCUAUUAACUAUGUGACCCUGGACAUGUCAACCUGAUUUCCUUUAUCUGUAAGCAGGAAAUAAGACUUUACUCUUCUGACAGAAUAGCUGCAAGAAGUGUGCUGUAAAAGGGCGGAUCAAUUCCUGUUACAUAAUCUGUUUAAGAUUCUUACCAUCUCCUGUCACUUCUCUAAUGAACUCAUUAGACCUCUCACCAAAACUGUCCUUCCAAAUCUUCUGAUCUCUCUGGGUACCCUCUUCCACACAUUCAGUUGAGAAUCUUGCCUCAUUUUCCUGAAAAAAUUGUAUUUGCCUGAGCUCACUCUUCUCCCCUCCAGUUUAUCUGACAUCAUUCAGAUACCUUCUAUUUGCCCCCUCUUCUCCUUACCUCUUGGUGUGCACAAGUGAUUUCCUUUAAUCUUUUAAUCAUUUAAUCUUCAACAGAUAAUUGCUUCUAGCAUCUCUACUAUUUUUUGGCUGCUUCUGUAUUACCUACUUG